rnacentral:rRNA from 1 species
CUACGGGGGGCUGCAGUGGGGAAUAUUGGACAAUGGGGGAAACCCUGAUCCAGCAAUGCCGCGUGUGUGAAGAAGGCCUGCGGGUUGUAAAGCACUUUCGGUUGGGAGGACUGCUUCUAGCACUAAUAUUGUUGGAAGUUGACGUUACCUUCAGAAGAAGCACCGGCUAACUCCGUGCCAGCAGCCGCGGUAAUACGGGAGGGUGCAAGCGUUAAUCGGAAUUACUGGGCGUAAAGCGCGCGUAGGCGGCUAGAUCAGUCGGGUGUGAAAGCCCCGGGCUUAACCUGGGAACUGCAUCCGAUACUGGCUAGCUUGAGUACAGGAGAGGAGAGUGGAAUUCCACAUGUAGCGGUGAAAUGCGUAGAUAUGUGGAGGAACACCAAUGGCGAAGGCAGCUCUCUGGCCUGAUACUGACGCUGAGGUGCGAAAGCGUGGGGAGCAAACAGGAUUAGAUACCCCGGUAGUC